CUUUUAUUAGACUUUCUGAAACAGUAAUCAAAAAGCCCAAAGAAAAAGAAGUGAGAAGCCAUUUUCUUCCUUCAUCUUCCUGCAUUCUUUAAUCUAUCGCUGGCCAUUGUAAUAAUGAGUCCUUUUGGCAUCAUUACCAUGAAAAGCCCCUCUCUCUCCAUCUUUUUAAUUUUCUUUUCAUAUUUACAGAUACAAACACAUUUUCUCAUCUAUAUAUAACUCGCACCUUU
rnacentral:misc_RNA from 1 species